GCUUGACAUUUAGAUACUAUUAAUGAGCACAAGUAAAAGAAUAAAAUUCUAGCAAAUGCGGGUGAUUUCAGUAAUUGGAACAGUAAUGAUUCAAAUUUCAUUUUAUAUUUACAUGUUUAUCACUCAUGUGAAGCUUUCUAAAGGAAGCUGCAAAGCCAGACACCAAAUUAAAAGUAGUUGGUUGGCUUUCUGAAAGAGACACUGCCUGGAAAUCACUAGACAGGAGAAGCUUAGGCCCAGCCCAUGAAUCCAGGUUUCUGGCCUCCCCACAGUGUCAUUGAAUUCCAGGUCAGAAGUUAGAGGAGGAUAAACUCUCCUGUGGACAUGGAUUUGUGAUUUGUGCAUGUGUCAUUGCUUAUGCAGCCCCUCUGUGAUUGGGAAUAAUUUCUCAGUUUCUCCUUGUAGAAGAUGAAAACAAUGGCAAUUGCUUAACUAUUUGGAAGCUGAAAGACUCUGAAAACAGGAGCUGUGGAGCUGUGUCCUGCAGCCUGUUUCCUUGCAUGGAAAAGACUGGAUCCCGACUGCUGUGUGCAGUGUGGUGUGUGACAAUAGCCUUGAGAGACAUUGCUGGCAAGAUCUCUGCCCCUAGGGAAUAGAGGACACCUUCCAGACCUGCAUCCUGAGAAAGCAAAGCACUGGCCUCACCCCAGCAUGGCAGUGGCACAUGAGAUGGUGUGGACACUCACUGCAGGCACAUGAGAUGGUGUGGAAGGCUCGCUGCUCAGAUGUUGUGAGCAGACUUUCUUCCUCUGUGUCUUCAGAGGUGGAGGACUGAGAGCUCUGUGUCCAGCUUGCAACAAACUCAGUAUGAACAAGUGUGGGGGUGUCUGCUUUCCUUUCUCAAGCAAACUAACUGGUGUAGCUGGAAGAGUGAACUGAGGCCAGUAACAGCUUUAGUCUCUGUCCUACCAUGCCUGAGAUGCUGUGUAGUCUGUUGGGAAGGCAGUGUGGAUUUUCUCUGUGGCCUUUUUUGUGAGUUUUGGACUAUUCCCUUUCCCUUUGAGAGCAGCUAUCUAGUUUUCUGGCAGUGAGUGUACAAGCAGGAAGGAUAGAAAUGGAGAGCAACUAUGGAACAUAUCAUUAUUAAAAAGCCUCUCAAAAUCCUUAGGUCAUUUGCACCUUAUGUGUGAAUCCUCUUAGUUUUUGUUCUGCUGGAAUUGAUAGAUGUUGACCCAAAAUACUUUCAUUUCCAAACCUGCUGUAAGUAGCACUUUAAUUGCACACUCCAAUUAUCUGUCUCAGAGAAAGCUGGAGAAGUAGCUGUGGGUACAAAACCUCCACCACUCAGCCAGUAACAGUGAUCACAAGUGGGACGUAGGAUGGGAGAACAUUGGAGGCCCUGAUAUGAGGACUGAAACCCAGUAGCUGUGCAGGGCUCUUCAAAAUGCUUUCAAGCUCUUCAGAGGUGCUUCAGGAGACUGGCAGCUUCAACCAGCAUGGUGUGUUUCAGGGGAUUCAGAAAUUCUGAUGAAUAUUGGAAAAAUACACAAGAUUACCCUCUUCAACGUUAUUCACCAUAGACUGGCUGGACUAAAGGACUAGAUAGCAGAGUUAAUUUGUAUGUUAACCUCUGCAGAAAUGUGAGGCUGAAGUGUCUUCUACUCCUGAAUGUUCAUCAUCACAAUUUUCAGGUGGCCUUUGGAAGCACUAGUGAAUAUAUCCUCAAAGAAGCACUAUAAUCCUCUUUUGCAGGUGAGGAACAGAGGCAAAAAGAUUCCAUGAUUUAAUGAAGAUCACGGAGCAGGUAUAAAUCCUGGAUUGGCUAAGGAUCAUUAAUGCAUCUGCAUGAGCAUUGCAGUCCACUCAGAAUUUCACUUCUGACUGAAACUCCUGCUAGUCCCCUCCUCCAGGGACAUGGUUGCCACCAAGGAAUCAUGUUGGCUGGCAUAGGCCACACUCCUUUCACGUGGACAGAGCAAGCAGAGCGUGUUCCUGUUUCUGGUGGGUGUCAAGUCCUCAGAGGCAGAAUAAAGCUGGUAUGGAGAAAACACCCUGAACAUUAAUCUGCUCCUCCUGCACUCUGUUUGCUAAGGGAGGCUGCUUCAGUGCUCCCCUAGCAUCAGCAAUGUCAGUGCAAGCUCAGACUUUGAGUGUGAAAGGCAAGUCAGAGUAAUGAGAUCACUAAUGGCUGGUUGUUGGAAGCACGCUGCCCCCUGACUUUGAUCUUGCUGAGGGAUCACCAGCAGGCAAGCCUCCACUCAGAGAGUGCCAGUGCCAUCCUGCCAGAGCCUGGGUUUCAUGCUUAGCAGCUAUGGAGAACCAGCUGAUCUAGUUCAAUUGCUUGAACAGACCCUAAACCACAAAGUACACAAAUGAAACUGGAGUGUGUUUCCUGGGUAAAUACUGUUUAAUCAAUAGGGAAACUAGAGCUCUGGUGAGUUUGCUGAUUUGGUUUUGGUAGCCUGGAGCUGAAGUCAAGAAGUCUGGGGUUUACCCAUAUUUCUGACAGUAAAUAUUUGGUCAAAAGUAACCAAACCAGACCAAACUCCACUGAUGAAUGUUUGAGUACUUUAGCAUGGUGUACCCAGAUAAUAAGCUAGGUACAUAUAUAUUAUAUGAUUGGUCCUCAAAGAAAGAAAAAUGUAAUAUUUUACCCAUGUCAUUGUCUGAUUGUUAAGUAAUGUUGAA